rnacentral:rRNA from 1 species
GACGUAGGGCGCGAGCGUUGUCCGGAUUUAUUGGGCGUAAAGAGCUCGUAGGCGGCUUGUUGCGUCGACUGUGAAAACCCGCGGCUUAACUGCGGGCUUGCAGUUGAUACGGGCAGGCUAGAGUUCGGUAGGGGAGACUGGAAUUCCUGGUGUAGCGGUGAAAUGCGCAGAUAUCAGGAGGAACACCGGUGGCGAAGGCGGCGACCUGGUCCGAUACUGACGCUGAGGCGCGAAAGCGUGGGGAGCGAACAGG